rnacentral:rRNA from 1 species
AACGAACGCUGGCGGCAUGCCUAACACAUGCAAGUCGAACGAGACCUUCGGGUCUAGUGGCGCACGGGUGCGUAACGCGUGGGAAUCUGCCCUUGGGUUCGGAACAACAGUUGGAAACGACUGCUAAUACCGGAUGAUGACUUCGGUCCAAAGAUUUAUCGCCCAAGGAUGAGCCCGCGUCGGAUUAGCUAGUUGGUGAGGUAAAAGCUCACCAAGGCGACGAUCCGUAGCUGGUCUGAGAGGAUGAUCAGCCACACUGGGACUGAGACACGGCCCAGACUCCUACGGGAGGCAGCAGUGGGGAAUAUUGGACAAUGGGCGAAAGCCUGAUCCAGCAAUGCCGCGUGAGUGAUGAAGGCCUUAGGGUUGUAAAGCUCUUUUACCCGGGAUGAUAAUGACAGUACCGGGAGAAUAAGCCCCGGCUAACUCCGUGCCAGCCGCCGCCGUAACAC